AACGAACGCUGGCGGCAGGCCUAUCACAUGCAAGUCGAACGCUCCAGCAAUGGAGAGUGGCAGACGGGUGAGUAACGCGUGGGAACCUUCCCUAUGGUUCGGAAUAGCCCAGGGAAACUUGGGGUAAUACCGAAUAAGCCCUUCGGGGGAAAGAUUUAUCGCCAUUGGAUGGGCCCGCGUCGGAUUAGCUAGUUGGUGGGGUAACGGCCUACCAAGGCGACGAUCCGUAGCUGGUCUGAGAGGAUGAUCAGCCACACUGGGACUGAGACACGGCCCAGACUCCUACGGGAGGCAGCAGCGGGGAAUAUUGGACAAUGGGGGCAAGCCUGAUCCAGCCAUGCCGCGUGAGUGACGAAGGCCUUAGGGUUGUAAAGCUCUUUUGGCGGGGAAGAUAAUGACGGUACCCGCAGAAUAAGCUCCGGCUAACUUCGUGCCAGCCGCCGCGGUAA
rnacentral:rRNA from 1 species